rnacentral:lncRNA from 1 species
UUUGAAUCGAGAAUAUGAAACUCAGACAAAGAAGGUGUAAGCUUUUGAAAAAAUCAAAACUUCACAUCACAAUUUUAAACAUGUAUGAGAGGCUUAUAUACCUAGAUCCGGACAAAGAAGGUGUAGAUUUGGAAGAAACAAACCUUGCAUGUCUUGAACUCGAAGACAGAGACGAUGUGAUUCAGAAUAGAGAGACAGUGUGAUUCGGAAGACGGAGAAGGUCGGUGUGUUUCAGAAUAGAAACUGCAAGAAGAGAGUAUGAAGAACGAUUAAUGAGAAUCUAGGAUUUCUGAACGAUAACGGUUCUC